GAUGAACGCUGGCGGCGUGCCUAAUACAUGCAAGUCGAGCGAACGGACGAGAAGCUUGCUUCGCUGAUGUUAGCGGCGGACGGGUGAGUAACACGUGGAUAACCUACCUAUAAGACUGGGAUAACUUCGGGAAACCGGAGCUAAUACCGGAUAAUAUAUUGAACCGCAUGGUUCAAAAGUGAAAGACGGUCUUGCUGUCACUUAUAGAUGGAUCCGCGCUGCAUUAGGUAGUUGGUAAGGUAACGGCUUACCAAGGCAACGAUGCAUAGCCGACCUGAGAGGGUGAGCGGCCACACUGGAACUGAGACACGGUCCAGACGCCUACGGGAGGCAGCAGUAGGGAAUCUUCCGCAAUGGGCGAAAGCCUGACGGAGCAACGCCGCGUGAGUGAUGAAGGUCUUCGGAUCGUAAAACUCUGUUAUUAGGGAAGAACAUAUGUGUAAGUAACUGUGCACAUCUUGACGGUACCUAAUCAGAAAGCCACGGCUAACUACGUG
rnacentral:rRNA from 1 species